rnacentral:rRNA from 1 species
GACGAACGCUGGCGGCGUGCUUAACACAUGCAAGUCGAACGGAAAGGCCCUGCUUUUGUUGGGUGCUCGAGGGGCGAACGGGUGAGUAACACGUGAGUAACCUGCCCGUUACUUUGGGAUAACUUCAGGAAACUGGGGCUAAUACCGGAUAGGAGCUCCUGCUGCGUGGGGGGGGUUGGAAAGUUUCGGCGGUUGGGGAUGGACUCGCGGCUUAUCAGCUUGUUGGUGGGGUAGUGGCUUACCAAGGCUUUGACGGGUAGCCGGCCUGAGAGGGUGACCGGCCACAUUGGGACUGAGCUACGGCCCAGCAUCCUACGGGAGGCAGCAGUGGGGAAUAUUGCACAAUGGGCGGAAGCCUGAUGCAGCAACGCCGCGUGCGGGAUGACGGCCUUCGGGUUGUAAACCGCUUUCGCCUGUGACGAAGCGUGAGUGACGGUAAUGGGUAAAGAAGCACCGGCUAACUACGUG